rnacentral:rRNA from 1 species
CCAGCUCUCCGAGUAGUGUGGACGUUUAUUGGGCCUAAAGCAUCCGUAGCUUGCUAGGCAAGUCCCCUGUUAAAUCCACCGAUUCAAUCGAUGGUUUGCGGGGGAUACUGUUUGGCUAGGGGACGGGAGAGGUCGACGGUAUUUCCGGGGUAGGGGUGAAAUCCUAUAUCCCGGGAGGACCACCAGUGGCGAAGG